rnacentral:rRNA from 1 species
CCCUACGGGGGGCAGCAGUAGGGAAUUUUCGUCAAUGGGCGCAAGCCUGAACGAGCAAUGCCGCGUGAACGAGGAAGGUCUUCGGAUCGUAAAGUUCUGUUGAAGGGGAAAAAGAGCGGAGAGAGGAAAUGCUCUCUGAUUGAUAUUACCCUUCGAGAAAGUCACGGCUAACUACGUGCCAGCAGCCGCGGUAAUACGUAGGUGGCGAGCGUUAUCCGGAAUGAUUGGGCGUAAAGGGUGCGUAGGCGGCCUGCUAAGUCUGGAGUGAAAGGUACCGGCUCAACCGGUACAGGCUCUGGAAACUG